GAGAGCACAGUACAAUGAAAAUUGUAAGUUGUGUUCGAAGGGGAGUUAUUGUUUAUCAUUGGCCCCUAU
rnacentral:ncRNA from 1 species